UUUUGUCGUUCCUGAAUGACACCUGCGCGUUAUGGCGCGAUUUCAGGGUUAGACGCCAUCUUCAUUGAGCGAUCUGGAUCAUGACGUCGAAUCUUUCAUUAUCAAUAAUAUUGUGAACAAUUUUAUUCCAGCAAGCAAACAAAAAACCAGACAUGCUUGAAAAUGGCACAAUUUCACCAUGACAAUAAUGGCAAUUUUCAUCAGAAAACUUGCAAUUACCAUCGAGAAAAUAUGGACAUGGAAUCA
rnacentral:lncRNA from 13 species